rnacentral:snoRNA from 1 species
CUGUAAUAUGAUUAAGGAAAUACCGCCCCAGUCUGAUAUCCAUGACUGAUUCGGUUAUUUAGAUGAUUU